GGGUACCGUGGAUUCACGUGAGAGGAGGGUCCGGCAGAGGGACAGAGAGCGGAGAGGUGGAGGGGGCCUCCUAGCCAUUGAGAAGAAGUCGGCUUUUGGCCCCAGUGAGGUGAGGCCGAGGGAGAAGUCUGCGGCGAGGACGGGAGCGGGUGGAGGGCGGACGCGGUGAGAGCGGGUGGACGCUGCUGCGAUAGCCCAGCGAGAGGCCGGCGGCAGCCUGGAGGUGGCGAGGCUGCUUGGGUUGGGCAGAUAUUCCAGAGGCAGGGCCCACGGGAUCUCCCGGUGGAGCAGGCUAGCAGCGGAAGAGGAAUAGGAGCUGGGCAUAACCUCGGCCUUUGAUCUGAGCACCUGGGAGCAUGGCCCUGAGGCCGCCCGCGAUGGGGAAGGGAACAGGGAGCGCCCUGGGGUGGGGCGCCCAGGAAUUCUGUCCGGGGCACGGUCGGCUGCGUUUUCGUGAGGAGGCCAGAAGAGCUGUCGCGGCGGCAAGACCCCAGCGUGGGCCCCGUGGGCAUCCCGCCGAGGUGCUGGGUGAGGCCACCGGGGAGGGAGGACGGCCAAGUUCCGGGCCACCAAGGACGAGCAGCCGGAGUUUGCAGGAAUGACACGUGUACAAGCCGGCGGGCGGCCGCUGCGAACCGGGUUCUGCGGUGAGCGGGGCGCCGGGGCUCGGCCUGGGGCCACCUCCGCCUGGGGACGUCGUGGAGAAGCCGGGCUCCAGGGCCCCAGCCCCGGCCGCCAGGCGCCAUCGCAGGCGGGGCAGGGAGCCGGGGGUCCCCGGCAGCGGCGCGCGGGCGUGGGCGGCCGCACCCACUCCGGCCCGGGCCGCACGGCCGCCCGCACUUGCCCUCUGGCGGCGGAAGCGCGCAGCGCGUGUCGAGCAGGGAACCUGGACCCGUUCAGCUUCCGUAAGACCGCGAUUAUUUCAACGCUGGUUUUGAAUCUCUGCUUGUUACUUUGAGACGACUGGAUUUUCCCCUAAAACUCUCCAUCGUGUAGAUUUCAGCGUGCUGCUGUCUGGGUCUCCUUGGGCACCGCGACGAACAGCGCGAGGACAGGACCCAGCAGACCGUGGGGCGCGUCGGGCAGCGCUUUAUGAAUUUUAACACGUUAGGAUAGCCGUCACUACAACAGGAUACAAAAUGUUUCCAUCGCCCCAAAAAACUCCCUCCUGCUGGGGCUUUAUAGGCACAGCCCCCCGUCUGAGCCCCGGCAGCCACCGCUCUGCCCUCCGUCACCACAGCUCUACCUUUUGGAAUGUCGUACAAAUGGAACCAGACUGUGCGACCUUGGGGACCAGCUUCUUUCACUCAGCGCGAUGUCUUCGAGAUUCAUCUGGGUGGUUGUGUGAUCAAUAGUUUGUGUCUUUCCGCAACUCCCCAGUGUUUCCUGGUGUAGAUGGCCACAGUCUGUCUGCCCAUUCAUCCAUGAAAACAUAUUUGGGUUCUUUCCAGCUCUUACAAAUAAAGCUGCUGCCAGUAUUCAC
rnacentral:lncRNA from 1 species